rnacentral:rRNA from 1 species
UACGGAGGGUGCAAGCGUUAUCCGGAUUCACUGGGUUUAAAGGGUGCGUAGGUGGGUUGGUAAGUCAGUGGUGAAAUCCCCGAGCUUAACUUGGGGAACUGCCAUUGAUACUAUUAAUCUUGAAUACCGUGGAGGUUAGCGGAAUAUGUCAUGUAGCGGUGAAAUGCUUAGAUAUGACAUAGAACACCAAUUUGCGAAAGGCAGCUGGCU